CCUGUUCUCAAGGGGUUCCUUCUUUGCUCUGCCACACAUUUUUUCCUAAGGGCCAACUCUUUCCUCUACUGGGGGCUGCUUUGCCGGAACGCCUCCUGUUUGGGGCGCAGGGACGGGGAAGGGAGUGAAGCAGCCCGUUCUGGUGAGGCAUUCCCAGGAGCCACGUCUGCAGCGCUCUAACCGGGAAGGGCCACAAUUUGGCUGUGCAGGGGGGAGGGGACUCUGUAUAGAAGGGUUGCACGUUUUCCUUCCCCUUUAUGGGCUGAUAAACAGCUGGGUGUAUAGCGUUGACAGCCCACGACGCCGAGUCCCUGGCGUUCCCCCCUCGCCGUAGUUUUCUUUUCUUUGCAAACCUAACAGCGUGACAGUGCGUAGAAGGAAGAAUUCCCUGCAGUAAUUCCUAGAUUAGCUUCAGUCUCAGGCAGUCACAGCUGGAGCAACUGAGUCCUGCUGCGGUUUAACUAGUCUUCAUUCGUUUCGUAACAACCGAAAGUGAAACAGGACUGGGCGGGCUCUGGGGAGAACGUGAUUUGCUGUCAUUGGUGGCAGCUCUCCGCUGAUGCUUUCUCUGCAGACACGUUCCCAAACUCGUCCUCAAAAGAACUUUUCUGAUGUAGCUAAUCUGCUUCUGAUUUGAGUGAUGUCCCAGCAGGCACCAUGCUGGUGAUGGCCUGGCCACCAUGGAACUCUAUUGGAGCACGGCACUGGCUAGGGACUCAGAAAACACACCUGAGAAGAAUUUGUCUCCACUACCAGCAGUAUCUGAAGAGACAUUUUCUCAGAUUUUUAAAUAAUGCGACUAGAAUAACCAUCUUCAUUCUUUGCUGCAUCAGUGCAUAUCUACCAGGAAUAGAAGCUGAAAGAAGAAGGUGGGAGGCAGUUAUAGAUGAUUUGCAUGAGAUUAAAGACACAUCUGAUAGCAUUGAUGCCUGUUUAUACACUGCAUAUACAGACAAGCCAGAUGAGUGCGAAGUACAAGUGAUGGAAUGCUUUUUGUUAGAGCUGAAAGUGAUUUCCCAUGAAUGUGAAAUCAGAAAAGGAUGUAAAAUCAAACAGCACGUGCGGAAUGUGCUGGCAAAUGUAAAAGCAAAUUUACCAAAGAACACAAGUUUACUGAACAGUCCGAACAGGAAUAAAAUAACAUGCAAACAAUGUGAAGAGUACGAAGAAAGAAAUUUUAUUAAAUUUAUAGAGACUUUCGAAGAGUUUGCAAAACACAAACUGAAAUUUUUACCGCACGUUCCUAAAUAGGCUUUCUUUUUGAAAGUGCUUAAGGGAAACUCCAUAAACUUUGCCGGCACUUCAAGCAAUAUAAUCAUUGGAUGGAUGGAGAGACAGACUGUUUGGCUAUUUUAAGAACUUUGUAAGACAGAAAGGCAGAAAAAACAAAAUACAGCAAAGAAUAAUCUGAACUAUGAACUGCGCCACAGACUAUUUUGCCUUUUUAUUUUUAAUUUACUACUUUCUCUGGGAAGCUAUUAAAAUGUAAAAUUAUGUGUAUUUUAUAAGCAUUUUAGAUAAAUAUUUGCUCUUUGCAUGUCUCAAUAAUUGACUACUACUUAGAAAACAUAGUAACUUGCACAGCCUUCCCUAUCCAGCCCUCCAUACAGUUGUGCAACCCCGAUGUGACCCUCGGGCCAAAAAGUUUGCCCAUCCCUGCACUAUUAAGAGACUGGCAAUAGACUGUUUGCCAAGCUAGUUGUGAUUUCCUGCUCUCUCUUUUCUGGCUUUAUUGUGUUUGAAGUGCUAUGACAUUCUGGACCAAAUUCUGUUUGCCUUACCCAACUAAUCCCAUUGAUUUAAAUGAGAUGAAUGUGUGAGUAAAGCCAGGAGGAUUCAGUUCUAUAUGUGCACAGGCCAAUGAGAACAUUUUUUCCAUUGUGCUAUUUAUAUGUAGUGUGGGAAAAUGUAAC